CAUGCAAGUCGAGCGAACAGACGAGGAGCUUGCUCCUCUGACGUUAGCGGCGGACGGGUGAGUAACACGUGGGUAACCUACCUAUAAGACUGGGAUAACUCCGGGAAACCGGGGCUAAUACCGGAUAACACAUGAAACCGCAUGGUUUCAUGAUGAAAGACGGUUUUGCUGUCACUUAUAGAUGGACCCGCGGCGUAUUAGCUAGUUGGUAAGGUAACGGCUUACCAAGGCAACGAUACGUAGCCGACCUGAGAGGGUGAUCGGCCACACUGGAACUGAGACACGGUCCAGACUCCUACGGGAGGCAGCAGUAGGGAAUCUUCCGCAAUGGGCGAAAGCCUGACGGAGCAACGCCGCGUGAGUGAUGAAGGUCUUCGGAUCGUAAAACUCUGUUAUUAGGGAAGAACAAGGKUGUAAGUAACUAUGCAYCCCUUGACGGUACCUAAUCAGAAAGCCACGGCUAA
rnacentral:rRNA from 1 species